rnacentral:rRNA from 1 species
UUUGGGUUGUAAACCUCUUUUCUCAGGGAAGAAGAUCUGACGGUACCUGAGGAAUCAGCAUCGGCUAACUUCGUGCCAGCAGCCGCGGUAAUACGAGGGAUGCAAGCGUUAUCCGGAAUUAUUGGGCGUAAAGCGUCCGCAGGUGGUUAUACAAGUCUGCCGUCAAAGCGUGGAGCUUAACUCCAUACCGGCGGUGGAAACUGUAUGACUAGAGGUCAGUAGGGGUCACGGGAAUUCCCAGUGUAGCGGUGAAAUGCGUAGAUAUUGGGAAGAACACCAGCGGCGAAAGCGCGUGACUGGGCUGAUUCUGACACUCAUGGACGAAAGCUAGGGGAGCGAAUGGGAUUAGAUACCCCCAGUA